CCUGCUGGUGCCUCCCUCCUUGGCGCGCUUCCCACCUGCGAUCGGCGCCCUCUUCGCAGUCACGAACUCGCCAGCAGCUAGCAGCACUGACUAGUAGGAGGGCCCGCCGGAGGAGAGGACAUGCUCUGGAGUCAGAAGACAGCGAAAAGAGAAGCAGAAGCCCCGGUGGCAAGAGUCUGAAGCUGGAAAGGAGGAGAACAUGAAACAUUGCUUGAAGACAAUGGCCGAGACAGCAGGUCCCACCCUGCACAGCCACCAGCAUCUCUCCCCUCAGCCCUGUCUCCUCUUCUGCAGUUGGGAUCUGCACAUUUAAGCCUGAAAUUGUCCUGUGAAGUGAAGUAUGAUCGGACAGCCUCUUUUCAGCUUUUAUGACAAUGGAGACAGAGGAAUUGUGGCUCUUGCCAAGGUCACAGGAUUGGAAUACAGAGCCAAGCCACCCCAGGACAUGCAAGAGCCUCAGAAGGGAAAAAAGCCCAGCAGGAAGGGAGAACAAGUAGCCUCUGUCCUGAAGUUGUAACAGCCAGGGGCCAGGAUGGAGGAGGAGGACCCCAUAAUCUGCCCAUCUGGGACUUGGCAGGGGACCUGGGAAAAUGUACCCCAACCCAU
rnacentral:lncRNA from 10 species